AAAGUGACUGCUACAGUAUUAUAAAUAACCAAGCUUUUGGCUUGAUGCUGUGGUCUGUUCAUACAGGAGGAGCGACAUAUGCUGUCCUGGCCACUGUUUUUCCUGUGCUCUUGUUUUUAGGAUUCAGCUCCGUGUGUGUGUGUGUGUGUGUGUGUGUGUACGUGUACGUGGGGAAGAACCGUGUAUUGGGUUGCCUAUGAGCCUCCCCCUGGUGUGUUGAUGUAUGUUGUGUGUUAUGUAAUGUGUGUAUUUUAGGCCAUUGGGUUGGUGCAAUAUCCUGGGUAGGGGGGGGAUAACAAUUUUGUUGUGUGGCCACUGGUUUGUCUAGUGUGAAUUAUUUUCUUUUUGGUUAUAUUUGUGCAUGUGAUUUUGUGACGUGCCUUAUCAAUUUUGAGUUUGUUGUAUUUUGUUUUUGAGUUAUUUGAACACUUUGAUUUUGGAUUUUGUUGUCCCUGACUCUGUUGCCCAGAGGCCUAAUGUCCUUUGAAUACUGUUUCAUGUUGUGAGUCCAUUGAGCCAAAGAAAAGGGGAAAUAAAUAAAUUUUCUAUUUUUAUAAUA